rnacentral:rRNA from 1 species
UACGUAGGGGGCAAGCGUUGUCCGGAAUCAUUGGGCGUAAAGAGCGUGUAGGCGGCCCGGUAAGUCCGCUGUGAAAGUCCAGGGCUCAACCCUGGGAUGCCGGUGGAUACUGUCGGGCUCGAGUCCGGAAGAGGAGUGUGGAAUUCCUGGUGUGAGCGGUGAAAUGCGUAGAUAAUCGAGAGGAACACCUGCGGCGAAGGCGGGUUGCUGGGCUGACACUGACGCUGAACUGCGAAAGCUAGGGGAGCGAACGGG